AUGGAUAUUGAAUAUGCAUUCUGGCAAAUGCUUCACUUAUGUACUGCACCAAAGGUCGUCUAUCAGCACACAAAAUGUCACAAAUAAACCAAGAACCAGUGGGCACGUGACAACCCUGCUUUUGUUGUAAUCUGCAGCUUUCUUUUGGCAGUUGCAACAAUAGCUUAUUGUGCUGCGUAUGAUUACAGU